AAUUUUAGCUAUGGCUUAAAAGUCAAAACAAAAAAUAAAAAAAAAAUAAUUAAAACAUGAAAAUUUGUGAGAGAGUGUCGUGGGUUUUUAAUUAGGAUUUUCGGUAUUCAGUUAAGGAAACCGGCUUGGAGUGUCCUGUAAAGUGAACUGAUAUUGGAAUACUACAUAACAGAAAACCCACACGGACACCUUGAAGAAAUUGAUCAAACAUCAACAAUGAGCAGCUCAUCCCCGCAAAACAGCCCGAUGCCGCCGCCCCAAGCGCCCAGUCCCAUGGGACCUCCGGCACAUACGAGUCCCGCUCCUUUACAUUCCCCGCACAGUCCCUACCAGCAACCACCACCCAUGGGCACACACAUGAACGUACCACCUCCGGGGCAUUCUAUGGGCCCCAGUUUACAUCAGCCCCAUUUGCCGCCGACCAGUCAGUCUAGCGGGCACGGACCACCCCCACAUAUGCAGCAUUUAUCUCAUCAGCAACACGGCGGAGGUCCUCCCGGUCACCAAGUGUCGUCCUCUUCGUCCCACGGGCAUCCUCCUCACCAUAUAACUCAACAGCAUUCGAUGCCGCCACAAAGUCAUGGACCGCCACCUGGAGCGCAUCAUGGUCCACCGCCGCAAGGGCACCACAUGGUGGGAGUAUCGCUCUCGCAAGGUCUCGGACCUCCGUCAUCUCCCGGACACCAUCCGAUGCACUCGCCACCGCCAGUGUCUCAAGCUCACAACUCUUUACCACCACCACCACCUCCUCACGGACCUCCUCCUCACCAUUCACCACAGAUGAGUCAUCACAUGGGACCGCCGCAGAGUCAUUCUGCGCAGGCUCAUUCGCAGUAUCCAGGAGGAGGACAUGGUCAACAUAGAGAGAGCUCUCCAUCCCCGGGGCCACCGCCUCACUCUCACCCCCAAGGUCCGCCCCAUCCUCAACCCUCCCAUUUGCCGCCCCAUCUGUCACCUCAAGGGCUGCCACAUCUGCCUCCGCUGUCACACGGUCAAAACCAGACGAUGCAAGGUCAAAGUCAUCCCAUGCAAGCGGGACAUCCGAUGCAAGGUCACCUCUCACCUCAAGGUCAAUCGGGGGGGCAUCAUCCCCCGUCGCCCCAACAACAACACCCGCCCAUGCCCCAUUUGUCGCCCCAGGGACAUCCGCCCUCACAAGGUCACGGUUCGGGUGUCAGUCAAGGAGGGCACGCACCACCUGGACAUCCUUCGCCAACUCAUCGAACAUCACCAGGACCACCGUCCCAAGGACCCCCACCACCAGGACAGGAGAAUCUCAGAGCGUUGCAGUCCGCAAUCGACUCCAUGGACGAGAAAGGGAUGCAAGAGGAUCCCAGAUAUUCCCAGUUGCUCGCUUUGCGUGCCAGGGCCAACGGUACUGCCGCCCUAUCCCAAAUGCAAAUGACUCAGUUGAGGAAUCAAAUAAUGGGGUAUAGGUUCUUAGCAAGGAACCAGCCGAUACCGCAACACCUGUUUAUGGCUUUACAAGGAAAACGACCGGACGGUACCCUUUUGCAAACCUCUACUCCGCCACCCCCCGCUCAGGAGGCUCCGAGAGAUCCGUACGAUGAACCUGCGGCGGUACCGAUAUCGUUGCCGCCCCCGGCCGCCUCCCAUUUUAUGAGGCCGCCCGCCGCCCCACUUCAGGGACAGUACCAGCAGUUGCCGCCGCCUCCUCCUCCUCAGGUAUCUCACGGACAGCAGGUUCGUCAGCCGUACAAGCCGCAACAAACGAGACCCGGCAGCAUCCAACAUUCCAAGCAGGCACGAAUCACCACCGUACCAAAACCUCUUGGUCUCGAUCCGAUAUUAUUGUUACAAGAACGGGAAAAUAGACUCGCGGCACGUAUAGCGACGCGGAUGCAUCAACUGACCAACCUGCCCACCGACAUGUCCGAGGAGUUACGGAUCCAGGCGCAAAUCGAGCUCAGAGCGCUCAGAUGUCUGAACUUUCAGAGGCAAUUGCGUUCCGAAAUUAUCGCUUCCACUAGACGGGAUACGACUCUGGAAACGGCUGUAAAUGUAAAGGCGUAUAAACGAACGAAGCGACAAGGUCUCAGGGAGGCCCGUGCGACCGAAAAGCUCGAAAAACAGCAAAAACUCGAAGCCGAACGGAAACGGCGUCAGAAACAUCAAGAGUUUCUGAAUUCGGUGCUGCAACACGGCAAAGACUUUAGGGAGUUUCAUCGGAACAGCAUGGGCAGAAUUGGAAAACUUAAUAAGGCGGUGCUUAAUUAUCAUGCCAACGCCGAACGGGAGCAGAAGAAGGAGCAGGAGAGGAUUGAAAAAGAACGGAUGCGACGACUUAUGGCCGAAGACGAGGAAGGAUACAGAAAACUUAUCGACCAGAAAAAAGACAAACGUCUGGCGUUCCUUCUCUCUCAAACCGACGAAUACAUCGCGAGCCUGACGGAAAUGGUGAAGCAACAUAAAAUCGAACAAAGAAAGAAGCAACACGAGGAAGAAAGGAGGAAGAAGAGAAAACGAAAGAGAUUGGCGGCCGAAGGAGUGCUGAAUCAAGAGGACGACGAGGACUCUGACAAGCCGAUCGCGGUCAUAGAAAUGGCCACUGGUAAAAGAUUGAGCGGUGACGAGGCGCCGCUAAUGAGUCAACUGCAGUCGUGGCUACAACAAAAUCCCGGCUGGGAGAUCGCCGAUACCGACGACGAGGACGACGACGACGACAACGACGACGACGAGAAUCGUAAGAACGCCGAACCGAAAACGGACGAGGAUAAAACCAAAGCGUUAAUCAAGAAAGCCAAAGUGGAGGACGACGAGUAUCAUAAGAAAAUCGGCGAGGAACAGAGUUAUUACGGAAUCGCUCAUACGGUGCAUGAAAUUGUUACCGAACAAGCCUCCAUUAUGAUCAAUGGAAAACUUAAGGAGUAUCAAGUUAAAGGCUUAGAGUGGCUGGUUUCACUGUACAACAAUAAUUUGAAUGGUAUUCUUGCCGACGAGAUGGGCCUCGGUAAAACCAUUCAAACCAUCGCUCUGAUCACGUAUCUGAUGGAAAAGAAGAAAGUGAAUGGGCCGUUCCUUAUAAUAGUACCUUUAUCUACUUUAUCGAACUGGGUGUUGGAAUUUGAAAAAUGGGCUCCCUCCGUAAUCGUGGUGUCCUACAAAGGCUCCCCGGCUGGCAGAAGGCAAAUCCAAAGCCAAAUGAGGUCCACCAAGUUCAACGUUUUACUGACCACCUACGAGUACGUUAUUAAGGAUAAAGGCGCACUCGCUAAGCUUCAAUGGAAAUACAUGAUAAUCGACGAAGGUCACCGAAUGAAAAACCACCACUGUAAACUCACCCAAGUUUUAAAUACCCAUUACAUGGCCCCUCACCGUUUACUCUUGACCGGUACCCCACUGCAAAACAAAUUGCCCGAGUUGUGGGCCCUAUUGAAUUUCCUUUUACCGUCGAUUUUCAAGAGUUGCUCCACCUUCGAACAGUGGUUUAAUGCACCGUUCGCUACCACUGGUGAAAAGGUGGAACUAAAUGAAGAAGAAACAAUUUUGAUCAUCCGACGUUUGCAUAAGGUGUUGAGGCCGUUUUUGUUAAGGAGGUUGAAGAAGGAGGUCGAGUCCCAGUUGCCAGACAAAGUGGAAUAUAUUAUAAAAUGUGACAUGUCCGGACUGCAGAGGGUACUUUAUAGGCAUAUGCAGAGCAAAGGCGUGUUAUUAACCGACGGUUCCGAGCGCGGUAACAAAGGCAAAGGCGGUGCCAAAGCGUUAAUGAACACGAUCGUUCAGCUACGAAAAUUGUGCAAUCACCCCUUCAUGUUCCAGCAUAUCGAAGAGAAAUGGUGCGAUCACGUCGGUAUAGCCGGCGGAGUUAUUUCUGGGCCGGACAUUUAUCGCGCCUCGGGCAAAUUCGAACUCCUAGAUAGAAUUUUACCUAAAUUGAAAGUUAGCAAUCAUCGGGUGUUGCUUUUUUGCCAAAUGACUCAACUGAUGACGAUAAUGGAGGAUUAUUUUUCUUAUAGGGGUUUCGGUUAUUUGAGGUUGGAUGGAGCGACGAAGGCGGAAGAUCGAGCCGAUUUAUUAAAGAAAUUUAAUACCGAUAGGAAGGAUUAUUUCAUUUUCUUGCUGUCGACUAGAGCGGGCGGAUUAGGGCUGAACUUGCAAAGCGCCGACACCGUCAUUAUUUUUGAUUCGGAUUGGAAUCCGCACCAAGACUUGCAAGCUCAAGACCGCGCUCACCGUAUCGGCCAACAAAACGAGGUCCGAGUCCUCCGUUUGAUGACCGUCAACUCGGUGGAAGAAAGAAUUUUAGCGGCCGCAAGGUACAAACUGAACAUGGACGAAAAAGUAAUUCAGGCGGGCAUGUUCGAUCAAAAAUCCACCGGAUCCGAACGGCAACAGUUUCUCCAGAGUAUUCUACAUCAGGACGGAGAUGACGAAGAGGAGGAAAACGAGGUACCGGACGACGAAACCGUCAAUCAGAUGGUCGCGCGGUCGGUGGACGAGUUCGAGAUGUUCCAAAAAGUGGACCUGGAACGGCGCAGGGAGGAAGCGAAACUGGGCGCAACCCGUAAGCCACGCCUGAUCGAGGAAAAGGAACUGCCCGAUUGGCUGGUCAAAGAGGACGACGAGGUAGUGGUUUAUAUAAAAAAUCGAUCACACGUGGAUCCGUGGAACUAUGAGGAUUCGGAUGCUAUUAUGGGUCGCGGCUCUAGGCAUAGAAAAGAGGUCGAUUAUACCGAUAGUUUAACUGAAAAAGAGUGGAUUAACGAACUUGACGAAUCCGACGAGGAAGACGAAGAAGACGACGAACCGAAAAAGAGAAAGCGAGGUAAAAGAAGAAAGCGAGGAGAAGACUCUGAUAGCGAUGCCGGACCCAGUCUCAAGAAAAAAACGAGAGGUAAAACCAACGAGGAAAACAAGCUUAAAAAGCAAAUGAAAAAAUUGAUGACAGUCGUUACAAAAUAUACAGACAGCGACGGAAGGCUCUUAAGCGAGCCCUUUGUAAAACUACCCCCGAGAAAAGACUACCCCGAUUACUACGAGGUGAUCAAAAAACCCAUGGAUAUUGCCAAAAUAAUAUCCAGGAUAGAUGAAGGAAAAUAUACGGAAAUGGCGGAUUUGGAGAGGGACUUUAUGUUAUUGUGCCAAAAUGCCCAGAUUUAUAAUGAGGAAGCUUCGUUGAUACACGAGGACAGUAUCGUGCUUCAGUCGGUCUUCACAAACGCCAAAGCGAGGAUAGAAACCGACGGGGAGGAGAAAGACGAUGAAAAGUCGCAAGAUUCGCUGGCGAAAAAGUCGGACGCCGAAAACGCCGUCAAAAUGAAGAUAAAAAUCGCCGGCAAAGGGAAAAAUAACAAGGGCUCGUCGGGCAAGAGGAAGAGAGGCAAGAAACACAUCUCGGACGACGAGGAAGACAAUGAUUAGCGAGGAGGAUAUUUCUUCACGAUUAACUCCUCACAAAUCAUUCCUAAUAAGGUGGUAAAAUUAAAGGUACUAUUC
rnacentral:misc_RNA from 1 species